UACGGAGGGUGCAAGCGUUAUCCGGAUUUACUGGGUUUAAAGGGUGCGUAGGCGGGCUUUUAAGUCAGCGGUGAAAUCUCCGGGCUCAACUCGGAAAUUGCCGUUGAUACUAUUAGUCUUGAAUUAAGUUGAGGUGGGCGGAAUAAGUCAUGUAGCGGUGAAAUGCUUAGAUAUGACUUAGAACACCGAUUGCGAAGGCAGCUCGCUAAACUUAUAUUGACGCUGAGGCACGAAAGCGUGGGGAUCAAACAGG
rnacentral:rRNA from 1 species